rnacentral:lncRNA from 1 species
UUUGAAAGGUCAAAUAUGUGGAGUACGCAGACAACGGCAAUUAAUAUUGGACAGUCCCAUUCUCCCAUACCCUUCUUAACUCAUAUAUGUAUAUAUAAUUAUAUAGAUAUAUCAGAUUCCAAAAUCUAACAUGCAUAUCAAAAGCAUUCUUGUUUACAUACAAGUAAAAAGGUCCAGAGUUCCAAGAUUCACAGAAGAAAUAGGAUAUGUAUAAGAAGGUUCGACGAAUCAAGGUCCAAGAUCAUGUGAGUAGACCCAUAAGAUAAGGAACCAUAUAUAUCUCUCUCUCUCUCUCUCUUGCAAGUAAGGUUUAUAUUUUCCCAAAAGUACUAAAAGAUCUCUGGCCUGCUUUGAGGAAUUUUCAAAUUUUCUGGUGUUUAAGUGGGUGAACUGAUAUGAAAGUUAACAUGGAAGGGGAACCAACAAGAAGAAGAAGAAGAAAAAGAUGGGAUUCUACAACAAGAAUUGCAGUUUCUUCUCUUUGGUUGCUCUUAAUCUUUUCAGAAAUUUGUCUAUCUUCUUCUGAGAAGAUAAGUAAAACUACUAGUUCAAGAUUGUUUCCGGCAAAAAAAGCAAAUCAUGCUGAAGCUUCAAGUCCACCCCAAAUUGUGAGUUCUGAAAAAGAUGGAAGCUCUUCAAACAAUUUGUAUGAAGAAGAAAAGAGAUUAGUACACACAGGGCCCAACCCUCUUCAUAACUAAGUGACAACAUGUUAUGUGGGCUUUGCUACUAUCAAUUCUAAUGACUAGUUUUAGAAUUCAACUAGAAAAGACUGUAAGUUCUCUCUGCUCUCAGUCUUCAUUUCCGUCUUUUUUUUUUUUUUUUUUUUUUUUUUUUGUUUUUUUUAUUUUUUGGUAAUAUUUUUCAUUUCAUCUUUUCUUUUGGGAUCUUUUUUUCAUCUCAAAAAGAAUUGAUCCACAUAUUGAGCACAUUUGCCACUGGUAAAGUUGUAGACUGACAUAUAUAACCUUGCUAAUAGUGCC